UCCCAUCCUGGACUGCCCCACCCCACAGACACACCAGGACAAUGCACAGCCACCCACAGCAGAGGCUCUCACCCCACACCCCCUUGCACCAGAGGAGCUCAGCCAUGCAGGGAGGGGUGCAAUGGCACAGCUCAGCUUCCUCCGAAGCAGAACCCACAUCUGGACAGCUGUGCCCAAAAGGGAGUCUGAGGGCCAGGGCAGCCACCAGCCCAGCAACAUCAGCCUUGUGUCCAUCCUGCAGCACCUUGCAUCACCUCACUGGACUGGACAGCCCAGCCUGCCCACUCCUGCUGGCCUCUGCCCACACAGCUCCACCACUGUGACCACGGAGAGGAGGGAGCCUGGAAAGAAACCACUGUGGCCAUGGAGAGGCUGGAAAGCAGCCACACUCUGCCUCAACUCCUUUCCCAGGCAGGCAGAGCAUCUUGGCUUCCCAGAAAAGUUGCUAGUUCAGAGCAAAAUGUCUGUGGGGUCAGUGGCUGCACCAGAUGAGUGGGAGUGGGGAUAGG
rnacentral:lncRNA from 1 species